GGAUAACCUACCCUUAGGACUGGGAUAACCCUGGGAAACUGGGGAUAAUACUAGAUAGGCAAUUUUUCCUGGAAUGGUUUUUUGUUUAAAUGUUUUUUCGCCUAAGGAUGGGUCUGCGGCCGAUUAGGUAGUUGGUUAGGUAACGGCUUACCAAGCCAUUGAUCGGUACGGGUUGUGAGAGCAAGAGCCCGGAGAUGGAACCUGAGACAAGGUUCCAGGCCCUACGGGGUGCAGCAGGCGCGAAACCUCCGCAAUGUGAGAAAUCGCGACGGGGGGAUCCCAAGUGCCAUUCUUAACGGGAUGGCUUUUCAUUAGUGUAAAGAGCUUUUGGAAUAAGGGCUGGGCAAGACCGGUGCCAGCCGCCGCGGUAACACCGGCAGCUCUAGUGGUAGCAGUUUUUAUUGGGCCUAAAGCGUCCGUAGCCGGUUUAAUAAGUCUCUGGUGAAAUCCUGUAGCUUAACUGUGGGAAUUGCUGGAGAUACUAUUAGACUUGAGACCGGGAGAGGUUAGAGGUACUCCCAGGGUAGAGGUGAAAUUCUGUAAUCCUGGGAGGACCGCCUGUUGCGAAGGCGUCUAACUGGAACGGUUCUGACGGUGAGGGACGAAAGUUAGGGGCGCGAACCGGAUUAGAUACCCGGGUAGUCCUAACUGUAAACGAUGCGGACUUGGUGUUGGGGUGGCUUUGAGCUGCUCCAGUGCCGAAGGAAGCUGUUAAGUCCGCCGCCUGGGAAG
rnacentral:rRNA from 1 species